AAUAUAUCAGUAUGAAUUUAUCAAAAUAACACCUUAACCUAACCUCAUGCAUCUCCCCAGUUUACCCUAAAACAACAAAUUAUUGUACUUGCAAUUCUUUUUCCCCACCACAAGAUAUUUCGUCCACUAUAAUGGACUUUUCUUAUUCCCUUAAUAUAAUAUAGUAGCUGCUACAUGUCAACAUAAAGUCGUUUUCACCUUGGAUUUUUUUUGUGGUUGAUAAUGUCUAUAUACAUAUACAUUUACAAUGUGAUGUCCGUGACGGAGGCGGAUUGAUGAGGGCGGGUCAAGCAAAACUGAUAGACUUAUGGCCUAGCAAAUUUAUGAAGAAGCGAUGCACAUGGCAUGUUACAUCGGAAAAAGAGAAAAAAGUGAAGAUCGUUUUAUAUGACACAAGCUCAUAUAGUACGCGCGCUUUUGGGGCUCGAUACAUGUGAUGUAGCCUGAAAGAUAACUAUAUGCGAUCCUAGAGCUAAAGCAGACAAUACGUGCAUGCCAUAGGAUUGAGUCGUGAUAAAUAUAUAUACUAACGUUAGUGGCAUUUAGAAAUAGAGUGAUGAAUUAUAGAUGCAAGAAUCAUACGAUUGAUCUCAGUUUUGAGAUUUAGCAUAUUUGAUAAUUGAUUAAUAAAUGAUGUAAGAUUAAGUAUUGAAAAUAUAUUUUCAAUUUAGC
rnacentral:lncRNA from 1 species